GCUUGUCUCAAAGAUUAAGCCAUGCAUGUCUAAGUAUAAACGAUUUUAUACGUGAAACUGCGAAUGGCUCAUUAUAUCAGUUAUAGUUUAUUUGAUGGUCCUUACUAUUUGGAUAACCGUAGUAAUUCUAGAGCUAAUACAUGCUGUUAAGCCUGACUUCUUGAAGGGCUGUAUUUAUUAGAUAACAGACCAAUAUUCCUCGUGUCUAUUGUGGUGACUCAUAGUAACUGAUCGGAUCGCACGGGCUUGCCCGCGACAAACCAUUCAAGUUUCUGCCCCAUCAGCUUUCGAUGGUAGUGUAUUGGACUACCAUGGCUUUUACGGGUAACGGAGGAUUAGGGUUCGAUUCCGGAGAGGGAGCCUGAGAAACGGCUACCACAUCUAAGGAAGGCAGCAGG
rnacentral:rRNA from 1 species